GAAAUACGGUAAGAGCGAAACCGGGAAGAAGCUCUGUGCCUGUAGGGAACCCGCCGCCAUCUCAGUUCUCUUGGCCAGUGCCCACCGGAGAAAGAUCUGACGCCCAGGUCCUGUAAUCCUUAUGGGGGACCAUCCUUGUACCUCCGGGAGAUCCACGCUCCCACCUGGAAACACGCGGGAAGCCAAGCCUCCAAAAAAGCGCUGCCUCCUUGCUCCCCGGUGGGAUUAUCCGGAAGGAACGCCCAACGGUGGUAGUACCUCUCUCGCCUCUGCACCUCCUCCUGCAUCACCCAGCCUGAAGUCGCACCCGCCUCCUCCGGAGAAGUAGUAGAAUAUACUUCUUCCACCCCAAACCAGACACUGAGGGAUAGCGGUAUGACUCUGUUUCCUUGGUGCAUUCGUAAAAUAGUUAACCCAGUGAAGACAAUGAAGAACAUUGAUAAUGCUAUCCUGCUUUUUCUGAUAUCCUGCACCGGGAAGUUGUGGUUUUUAAGUCUUAUGAUAUGAUCAGCAUAAUUUCAUCUCCUGAAUUUGGAUGAAUUCUGGGACAUAACCAAGAUCAGGCUGUAGACAUUUAAGAUUGAAGGCCAUGGCCUGGAUCAUGGUGAACCCACCAAAGCAAAUAAUACCUGUGAGAUGGUCCUGCAGCAGCCAGUCAAUGCUCUGUUUUGGUGGCACAGCCCUUGCUGCAUAAUUUUGAAUUUCUAUAAAUCCAUUAAGGUCACAAUAAAUUUUUUCUUUCAUUUUUUGUGUUAGUUCUAUAUGACUACUAUCUAGUAAACUGAAUUUUCAGUAUGUUUCAUAAUCUAAAUAUAAAAUAUUACUAAAAUUGGUGUCAAAAUAUGACCUUCCUCCUGCAAAUGGUGAUCCACUCAUUCUUUGUAGUGAGAAUAUAUCAGGAAAGUGGGAGGAGAGUUUGAGGGGUAAAAUCUGAAAGAAAAUUAAGUUCCCAGUACAUUCUCUUCACUUCACUUUCAAUUUUUCUAUGGUAUCUAUGUAUAUGUUCAUGAUAGUACUUAUUUUUCCACAUGUUCACUGUUUUUCUGGUCAAGAUGGUUGGUGUACUUGUUCUUGUAAUUUUCUACUUCUAAAGUAUUCUGUAUUAAAUAGGUUAUCUUAAUUAAAACAAUAAAAAUAUGGUGACGACAGUACAAGGAGAAUGGGAAAACUUCAGUCAACUUUCAAUAUUUCACAUAGUUCAUGAAUUGUUCAUUAAUUAGAGAAAGAAAAGCUAAUUUGGAGGAGAUCUUUAUGUAUAUUAAAUAAUAUAGUAAAGAUACAAUAAUUAAAACAAUGUAUUACUGGCAUAGAAAUAUGCAAGUCAGCGUAACAGGAUAUAAAGCCCAGAAAUGGUCACCGGCUUAUAUAAGAAUUUAAAGGUGGCAUUUCAGAUUAGUGGGGAAGGGCUGAGUCACUCAUUAAAAUGUGUUAAGAACAUCUGGCUGAUCAUAUGGAAAAAAUAAUUCAAUCUCCAUACUCAUACCAUAAACUAAUUGAAAGACAUCAAAUUAUUAGAAGGGAACUGGUGAAUACGUUAAUGUGGAAAGGGCAUAAUCCCAUGGAUAACAAUAAUUCAAUGUUUCAAAAUGUACUGAUUAAAUAUGGAUGAUGUGCCAAGUGCUCUACCAAGUACUCUACCAAGUACUGGGAAUAUAAUGGCUAGUAAGGUAGCAGUCAAUGUAGCUUACAAUCUAAUAGAGAGGGCAGAACUGAUUUUCUUCAGAAAUCGCUCUACAUCUCUCAUUUCAUUCCUUUGCUUCAUUUUCAACCGGGCUCUCUUCAUAUUGAGAAGGAUGGCAGCCAGCACUCUCAGGCAUACAUUGCAUUAAGAUCACUCAGAAAAACACACAGUCUCUUUUCCAGCUCCCCAUAUCAAUAGCUCAACAAGUAUUAUGUGACUCUCUUGGGUCAUAAACCAAUUUAUGAAUGAAUAUAUCCAGCAGAGUGGGUGCUCUGAUUGACCAAUAUAAGAUUACAUGCCCACUACUAAAAAAAGGAAGGUGAGGUCCUUGACUGACAGUUUCACCAGAGUUAGAUACUGAAUCAGGGAAGGACAAUUCCCAAAAGGAAAGGACAUAGGGAAGAUUAAAAAGUAACAUGUCCGCUAUAAACUGAAGAGUGACAAUUAGUAAUUACAAAAGGAGAAGGGGAAAGAGGGUAUCAAUCAGAAUGAGAGUGUGAAAGCCCAAAGGCAAGAAAACAUUGUCUAUUUGGCUAAAAGACAGUUUAACUAAAAUAGUCGAUGGAGUGGUGAGAGAUUAGCCAGGAAAGAUAGGCAGAGAUCAUAAAGAGGUAUGUGAAUUUUAUUACAGAAUUUAGACUUUAUAAGCAAAGGUUUCUUUUGCAGUAAAAUAUACAUUUGAUUUACCAUUUUAGCCAUUUUAAAUGCACAUUCACAUAUGCUUAAUGUGCAACCAUCACCCCCUUUCAUCUCCAGAAAAUCAUCAUCCAAAAUUGAAAGUUAGUACCCAGUAAACAAUAAGUUCUUUUUCCUCCCUCCUCCCAGCUCCUGAACACCACCAUUCUACUUUCUGUUUCUAUGAAUUUAACUACUCUGAAUACCUUAUAUUAGUGGAAUCAUACAAUAUUUUUCUUUUUGUGUAUAGCUUAUUUCAUUUAGCAUAACAUCUUCAAGCUUCAUCCAUGUUGUAGCAAUGUACCAGAAUUUCCUUCCUAUUUUAAUUGUGGUAAAAUAUUGCCAACCUAAAAUUUACUGUCUUAAGCAUUUCUAACUACACAGUUUAGUAGUGCUAAGUAUUUUUAUAUUGCACCACCAAUCUCCAGAAGUCUUAAGCUUGCAAAAUAAAAAUUGUAUACACAUUAAACAACUCUUCAUUUCCCUCUACCCCCAGCCAGUGACAGACACUAUACCAUUUUCUGUUUCUAUGAGUUUGACUACUCUAGACACUGCAUAUAAGUAGAACUACAUGAUAUUUGUCUUUCUGUGGUUGGUAUAGUCCAUUUAGCAUAAUGUCCUCAAGGUUCAUUCAUGCCAUAGUAUGUGAUAGGAUUCCCUUCCUCUUAAAUUUAUUUUUAAUUUAUAGAAUAUAUUUUUAGAGCAGUUUUAGGUUCACAGAAAAACUAAGUGUAAAUCACAGAGUUCCCAUGGGUUCCCUGCCCCCACACAUGUGUAGACUCUCCCAUUAUCAACACCACCCACCUGAUUGGCAUAUUUGCUGCUAUUGAUGAACCUACAUUGACCCAUUAUAUUUACCCAACAUCUAUUGCUUAAAUUAGGAUUCAUCUUUGGUGUUUUACAUUCUAUGGAUGGGGACAAAUGUAUAAUGAUAUGUGUGCAUCAUUAUAAUAUUGUACAUAUAAUAUUGCAUCAUUAUAAUAUUGUACAUGUGUCCUUUACAAAUAUUUCUCCCUAGGCUGUGGCUUGUAUUUUAACUGUGCUAAAAAUCCUCUGUGCUCUGCCUGUUCAUCCCUCCUCUCCACUCCCCCAGCUCCUGGCAACCACUGAUCUUCAUAGUUUUGCUUUACCCCGAAUAUCAUGUAGUCGGAGUUAUACAGCAUGUGAACUAUGUAGACUGGCUCUUUUCACUUAGCAAUAUGCAUUUAAGUUUCAUGAUGAUAGCUUAUGUUUUUAGUCCUGCAUAAUAUUCCAUUGUAUGAUUAUACCACAGUUUAUAAAUGUAUUCAUCUACUGAAAGACAUUUUGAUUUAUUCAAAGUUUUGGUAGUUAUGAAUAAACUUGCUAUAAACAUCCAUGUGCA